rnacentral:rRNA from 1 species
GACGAACGCUGGCGGCGCGCCUAACACAUGCAAGUCGAACGAGAGGUGAGGAGCUUGCUCUUCAAAUCGAGUGGCGAACGGGUGAGUAACGCGUGAGGAACCUGCCUCAAAGAGGGGGACAACAGUUGGAAACGACUGCUAAUACCGCAUAAGCCCACGGCUCGGCAUCGAGCAGAGGGAAAAGGAGCAAUCCGCUUUGAGAUGGCCUCGCGUCCGAUUAGCUAGUUGGUGAGGUAACGGCCCACCAAGGCGACGAUCGGUAGCCGGACUGAGAGGUUGAACGGCCACAUUGGGACUGAGACACGGCCCAGACUCCUACGGGAGGCAGCAGUGGGGAAUAUUGCACAAUGGGGGAAACCCUGAUGCAGCGACGCCGCGUGGAGGAAGAAGGUCUUCGGAUUGUAAACUCCUGUUGU